GUGGUCUUUAAGGAGAGAAGGGCGGAACAAGGUGUCACAACCUUCACUCUUCAGCUGAUCUACGGCCUGGUCAUCUUUCCAGAGUACGCUCCUUUCUCUCACUCUGCCGUUGUGGACGCUGUACUGCUGGACAUUGUGCCACCCUCAGUCACUGGCAACUGUGAUCAGGAGAACUUCCACAUCACUGUGGACUACAGGAACCAAGAGCCCUUUUUUGUGGUCUUGGUUGGCAAGCGGCUGCUUAACCAUGAGUUUGCUCAACAGUAUUUAACAGAGGGCGACACAG